UAAUUUCCGAAGCAUUGUUUUGCGCUAUGACGGUAUCUAACCAGAAAGCCACGGCUAACUACGUGCCAGCAGCCGCGGUAAUACGUAGGUGGCAAGCGUUGUCCGGAUUUAUUGGGCGUAAAGGGAGCGCAGGCGGUUGCUUAAGUCUGAUGUGAAAGCCCUCGGCUUAACCGAGGAGGGGCAUUGGAAACUGGGCCAACUUGAGUGCAGAAGAGGAAAGUGGAAUUCCAUGUGUAGCGGUGAAAUGCGUAGAUAUAUGGAGGAACACCAGUGGCGAAGGCGGCUGUCUGGUCUGCCACUGACGCUGAGGUUCGAAAGCAUGGGGAGCAAACAGGAUUAAAUACCCUGGUAGCCCAUGCCGAACACGAUGAAUGCCACGUGUUGGAGGGCUUCCCCCUUUUAUUGCUGGAGUUAACGCCUUAACUAUUUUGUUUGGGUAGUACAACCGCUGGUUGAAACAUUUUGGAUUUGACGGCCCCCGCAUACCCUUUCAGCUCUGUUCUUCUCCCCCACUACCCGAAGACUUUACCGGUCUUGAUCUCCUUUCCCCCUUUAUCUACAAUCCCGUCCCUUUGGGGAUUCAUAGUUGUGUCUUCUUCUUCUUUCCUUUUUUUUUUUUUUUAUUUCCUUCCUUUCCCCCC
rnacentral:rRNA from 1 species